UUUUUCAAUUAUCUAUUACAGAAUGGUAACACAUCCCUGCAUCUGGCCUGUCUAAACAACGAAGUAGAAACGGUAGAAAUAUUAAUUAACAAAGGUGUCGAUCUCAAUUGUCUAAAUCUGAGACUUCAAUCACCGAUACAUAUUGCAGCCGAGAUGGGACAUACGGAUAUUUGUGAAUUACUUCUUGCAGCGGGCGCAAAUAUCGAACAAAAAGAACAGAGCGGUCGAACGCCACUUUAUAUUGCGGCGAGAGGCAGUUUCACAGCCAUCGUCGACAUGAUCAUAAAAACCGCGAGAUUGGAUUAUCCGACCCCGGUAGGUACGCCGACAAAAAUUUCAUUUAGCAUCAAAAUUGUUUUCUCCUUAUUUCGCGUUUGAUA